AUUUUCGGCAAUGGGGGGAACCCUGACCGAGCAACGCCGCGUGAGUGAAGAAGUAAUUCGUUAUGUAAAGCUCUAUCAGCAGGGACGAAAGUAACGGUACCUGCGUAAGAAGCCCCGUCUAACUACGUGCCAGCAGCCGCGGUAAUACGUAGGGGGCAAGCGUUAUCCGGAUUUACUGGGUGUAAAGGGAGUGUAGACGGCGAUGCAAGUCUGGAGUGAAAGCCCGGGGCUCAACCCCGGGACUGCUUUGGAAACUGUACGGCUGGAGUGCUGGAGAGGCAAGCGGAAUUCCUAGUGUAGCGGUGAAAUGCGUAGAUAUUAGGAGGAACACCAGUGGCGAAGGCGGCUUGCUGGACAGUAACUGACGUUGAGGCUCGAAAGCGUGGGGAGCAAA
rnacentral:rRNA from 1 species